AGCAUACACAUGCAGUCGAACGGCAGCGCGAGAGAGCUUGCUCUCUUGGCGGCGAGUGGCGGACGGGUGAGUAAUAUAUCGGAACGUGCCCAGUAGCGGGGGAUAACUACUCGAAAGAGUGGCUAAUACCGCAUACGCCCUACGGGGGAAAGGGGGGGAUCGCAAGACCUCUCACUAUUGGAGCGGCCGAUAUCGGAUUAGCUAGUUGGUGGGGUAAAGGCUCACCAAGGCAACGAUCUGUAGCUGGUUUGAGAGGACGACCAGCCACACUGGGACUGAGACACGGCCCAGACUCCUACGGGAGGCAGCAGUGGGGAAUUUUGGACAAUGGGGGAAACCCUGAUCCAGCCAUCCCGCGUGUAUGAUGAAGGCCUUCGGGUUGUAAAGUACUUUUGGCAGAGAAGAAAAGGUAUCCCCUAAUACGGGAUACUGCUGACGGUAUCUGCAGAAUAAGCACCGGCUAACUACGUGCCAGCAGCCGCGGUAAUACGUAGGGUGCAAGCGUUAAUCGGAAUUACUGGGCGUAAAGCGUGUGUAGGCGGUUCGGAAAGAAAGAUGUGAAAUCCCAGGGCUCAACCUUGGAACUGCAUUUUUAACUGCUGAGCUAGAGUAUGUCAGAGGGGG
rnacentral:rRNA from 1 species